rnacentral:rRNA from 1 species
GACAGAGGGUGCAACCGUUGUUCGGAAUUACUGGGCGUAAAGCGCGUGUAGGCGGCCAACUAAGUCGGGCGUGAAAUCCCACGGCUCAACCGUGGAAGUGCACUCGAAACUGGAUGGCUAGAGUCCUGGAGAGGAAGGUGGAAUGCUUGGUGUAGAGGUGAAAUUCGUAGAUAUCAAGCGGAACACCGGUGGCGAAGGCAGCCUUCUGGACAGUGACUGACGCUGAGACGCGAAAGCGUGGGGAGCAAACAGG